rnacentral:tRNA from 1 species
UGUUCUGUAGCUUAGUUGGUUAAAGCGCCGGUCUAGCGUACACGGAGUCGCGAGUUCGAGUCUCACUAGAACGC